rnacentral:rRNA from 1 species
UGGGGAAUUUUGGGCAAUGGGCGAAAGCCUGACCCAGCAACGCCGCGUGAAGGAUGAAGUAUUUCGGUAUGUAAACUUCGUAAGAAUAGGAAGAAUAAAUGACGGUACUAUUUGUAAGGUCCGGCUAACUACGUGCCAGCAGCCGCGGUAAUACGUAGGGACCAAGCGUUGUUCGGAUUUACUGGGCGUAAAGGGCGCGUAGGCGGCGUGGUAAGUCAUCUGUGAAAUCUCCGAGCUUAACUCGGAACGGUCAGAUGAUACUGCUGUGCUAGAGUACAGAAGGGGCAAUCGGAAUUCUUGGUGUAGCGGUGAAAUGCGUAGAUAUCAAGAGGAACACCUGAGGUGAAGACGGGUUGCUGGGCUGAUACUGACGCUGAGGCGCGAAAGCUAGGGUAGCAAACGGGAUUAGAUACCCCAGUAGUCCCUGAGCGGGCUGGCAAGGCGCAU